UGCAUAGCUCACCUGGUAGAGCAUAAGACUCUAAAUCUCAGGGUUGUGGGUUCGAGCCAGCAUUGGGUGAA